rnacentral:rRNA from 1 species
UACGAAGGGGGCGAGCGUUGUUCGGAUUUACUGGGCGUAAAGGGCGCGCAGGCGGCUAUCCAAGUCAGGCGUGAAAGCCCCGGGCUUAACCUGGGAGGUGCGUCUGGGACUGGGUGGCUAGAGAUCGGGAGAGGAGAGUGGAAUUCCCAGUGUAGAGGUGAAAUUCGUAGAUAUUCGGAGGAACACCAGUGGCGAAGGCGGCUCACUGGUCCGGUACUGACGCUGAGGUGCGAAAGCGUGGGGAGCAAACAGG